GACGAACGCUGGCGGCGUGCCUAAUACAUGCAAGUCGAGCGGACCACUUCGGUGGUCAGCGGCGGACGGGUGAGUAACACGUGGGCAACCUGCCUGUAAGACUGGGAUAACACCGGGAAACCGGUGCUAAUACCGGAUAAUCCUUCUCUUCUCAUGAAGAGAAGCUGAAAGACGGUUUCGGCUGUCACUUACAGAUGGGCCCGCGGCGCAUUAGCUAGUUGGUGAGGUAACGGCUCACCAAGGCAACGAUGCGUAGCCGACCUGAGGGGGUGAUCGGCCACACUGGGACUGAGACACGGCCCAGACUCCUACGGGAGGCAGCAGUAGGGAAUCUUCCGCAAUGGACGAAAGUCUGACGGAGCAACGCCGCGUGAGCGAUGAAGGCCUUCGGGUCGUAAAGCUCUGUUGUCAGGGAAGAACAAGUACCGGAGUAACUGCCGGUACCUUGACGGUACCUGACCAGAAAGCCACGGCUAACUGCGUGCCAGCAGCCGCAGUAA
rnacentral:rRNA from 1 species